UUGUAUUUUCAUAUUCUUCUCUACUACUUCAAGUCAGAGAAAUAAGUUAAGCCUCACUUGACACUUCUAUUAUUUAAACAUGACUAAACACUAGAAUGCUGGAAUUAUGGUUAGUUGGAGACUGUUUUGGACUUAAUUCAUGAUUCUGACAUUAUCAGACACAUGGUUUACAUUAGUAUGCCACAUCAAAAUCUGGCCUCAGAUUUUGGUUUUGUUGCUUAUUGCCUCAUCUUAAUGGAGACAGGGAAGAGAGAAAAAAAGAAAUUUUUGAUAGUAGGUCCCAAGAAUAUGAAACAACCAUCUAAUUUCACAAUAACCUAAAACAAUAAUAACAGUGAGAUGGGAACACUAGACAUAAAAUGCUACUCUUUAUUCCUUCCCUUCCCUUCAGAUAUUUUAGAUUUUAGAUUCAGGGGAUAUAUGUGCAGAUUUAUUACAUGGACAUAUUGUGUAAUGGUGAUAUUUGGCCACCUAGUGAAUUCAGUACCCAAAUAGUGAACAAGGUGCCCCAUAGGUCGUUUUUAAAUCCUUUUUCCUCUUUCAUCAUCCUGUCUUUUGUGGUCUCAGUGUCUAUUAUUUCCAUCUUAAUGUCCCUGUGUGCCUAUUAAUUUGCUCCCACUUAUAAGUGAAACAUGUGAUAUCAGAUUUUCUAUUUUUGAGUUAUUUCACUCAGGAUAAGGGCCUCCCACUCCAUUCAUGUUGCUGUGAAGGACAUGAUUUUAUUCUUUUUUUAUGGCUGUAUAGUAUUCCAUGGUGUAUAUAUACCAUAUUUUCUGUAUCCAAUCCACCACUGAUGGACACUUAGGUUGAUUCCAUGACUGCACUAUUGUGAAUAGUGCUGCAAUAAACAUACAAGUACAGGUGUCUUUCUGAUAAAAUUGUUUCUUUUCCUUUGGGUAGAUACCCAGUGGUGGGACUGCUGGGUCAAAUGUUAGUUCUAUUUUUAGUUCUUGGAGAAAUCUUUAUAUCAUUUUCAAUAGGGAUGAAUUAAUUUACAUUUACUAAUAAACUAAUUUACAUUCCCAACAACAGUGUGUAAGAGCUUCCUUUUCUCUGCAUCCUUGACAACAUCUGUUAUUUUUUGACUUUUUAAUAAUAGCCAUUCUGAAGGGUAGCAGAUACUAUCUGAAUCUCAUUUUAAUUUGUAUUUCCCUGAUGAUUAGUAAUGUUGAGGUUUCUUCAUAAAUUUGCUGGCCACUUGUUGGUCUUCGUUUGUAAAGUGCCUCUUUAGGUACAUGUUGUGUUCAUGUUAUGUACAUGUUUAUGUACAUGUUAUAUUCUGUUUUUAAUGGGGUUAUUUGGUUUCUUCUUCUUGAUUUGUUUAAAUUCCUUAUAGAUUCCAGAUAUUAGUCCUUUGUCACAUUCAUAUUUUGCAAAUAUUAUCUCUCAUUCUCCAAGUUGACUGUUCACUCUCUUGAGUUUCUUUUGCUGUGCAGAAGCUACUUCAUUUCAUAGUUGCAUUUGUCUUUUUUUGUUUUUCUUGCAUUUGCUUUUGAGGUCUUAGUUAUAAUUUCUUUGCCUAUGCCAAUGUCCAGAAGAGUUUUUCAUAGGCCUUCUUCUAGAAUUUUUAUAGUUUCAGGUCUCACAUUUAUGUAUUUAAUCCAUUUUGAGUUAAUUUUUGUACACGUCAAGAGGUAGAGGUUCAGUUUCAUUUUUCUGCAUAUGCCUAGCCAGAUUUCCCAGCACUAUUUAUUGAAUAGAGUAUCCUUUCCCCAUUGUUCAUUUUACAACUAACUUUUUCAAAGAUUAGUUAGUUGUAGGUGUAUGGCUUUACUUCUUGGUUUUCUAUUCUGUUCCAUUCAUUUGUCUAUUUUUGUACUGGUACAAAAUACUGUUUUGGAUACUACAGCCUUGUAGUACAGUUUGGAGUCAGCUAUUGUAAUGCCUCCAGCUUUGUUCUUUUCUCUUAUAAUCACUGUAGCUAUUCAGGAUUUUUUUAGUUCCAUAUGAAUUUUUGAAUAGUUUUUUCUAAUUCUGUGAAAAAUUAUGUUGGCAAUUUUAUAGAAUUACAUUGAAUCUGUAGAUUGCUUUGGGCUGUAUAGACAUUUUAAUGAUAUUGAUUCUUCCUGUCUAUAAGCAUGGAACGUUUUUCUCUUUGUUUGUGUCAUCUGUGAUUUAUUUCAUCAGUGUUUUGUAGUUCUCCUUGUAGAGGUCUUUCAUCUCCUUCAUUAAAUUAUGUCUUGGUAUGUUACUAUUUUGUGACUAUUGUAAAUGGGAUUGAGUUCUUGAUUUCGUUCUCAGCUUGAGUGUUGACGUACAGAAAUGUGACUGAUUUUUGUGCAUUAAUUUUGUAUCCUGAAACUUUGCUGAAAUCAUUUACCAAAUUGAAGAAUCUCUUGUAGAAAUCUUUAGGAUGUUUCUUGCUAUAGGAUUUUGCCAUCAGUGAACAGGAUAUCUUGAAUUCUUCUUUUCUCCUUUUGAUUCCUUUUAUUUCUUUCUCUUGUCUGAUUGCUCUGAGUGGCACUUUCAGUACUGUGUUGAAUAGGAGUAGUAAGAGUGGAUAUCCUUGUCUUGUACUAGUUCUUAGGAGAAAUACUUUCAACUUUUCCUGAUUCAGUAUGAUGUUGGCUGUUGAUUUGUCAUAUAUGGCCCUUAUUAAUUUGAAGUAUGUUUCUUUGAUGCCUAGUUUGUUGAGGGCUUUUAUCACAAAGUGAUGUUUGGUUUUAUCAAAUGUUUUUUCUGCAUCUAUUUAGAUGACCAUAUGGUUUUGGUUUUAUUUUUGUUUAUGUUGUGAAUCACAUUUAUCAAUUUGCACAUGUUGAACCAUCUUCACAUCCCUAGAAUAAAACUCACUUGAUCAUGAUAGAUUAUCUUUUUGAUGUGCUAUUAAAUUUAGUUUGCAGGUAUUUUAUUGUCAAUUUUUGUGUCCAUAUUCAUCAGGGAUAUUAGCCUGUAGUUUUCUUUUUUGUUGUGUCCUUGCCAGAUUUUGAUAUAAGAAUAAAACUAGUUUUGUGAAAUGUGUUAGGGAGGAAUCCCUUCUCCUAAAUUUUUUGCAAUAGUGCAGUAAGAUUGAUACCAACUCUUUUUUGUGCUUUUGGUAAAUGUGGCUUUGAUUUCAUCUAGUUCAGGGCUUUUUUUGGUUGGUAGGUUUUUUAUUACUGAUUCAAUUUCAUAAAUCAUUAUUGGUCUGUUUAGGAUUUCAGUUUCUUCCUAGUUCACGUUUUGAAGGUGGUGUGUUUUCAGGAACUUAUCCACUUCCUCUAGGUUUUCUAGUGUAUGUGCAUAGAGAUAUUUAUAGUCUCUGAGAAUCUUUUGUAUUUCCGUUUUAUCAGUUAUAAUGUCAUCUUUAUUAUUUCUGACUAUACUUAUUUGAACCUUCUCUCUUUCUCUCUCUCUUUUUUUUUUGGUUAAUCUAGCUAGUGGGCUUCUAAUCUGGUCAGGUGGUGAUAAAUUCCCUUAGCAUUUGCUUGUCUGAGAAAGACCUUAUUUCUUCUUUAUUUAGGAAGCUUAGUUUGGCCAGAUAUAAAAUUCUUGGCUGAUAUUUUUUUUUCUUUAAGAAGGAUAAAAAUAGGCUCCCAAUUUUGUCUGGCUUUUAAGGUUUCUGUUGCAAAGUUUACUACUAAUCUGAUAGGAUUUCCUUUAUAAAUAAUUUGUUCUUUUUCUGUAGAUGCCCUUAAGAUUUUUUUUUAUCAUUGACUUUGGAUAGUCUGAUGACCAUAUGCCUUUGUGAUGCUUAUCUCAUUUAGUAUCUCACAAGUGUUCUCUGAAUUUCUUGAAUCUGGAUAUCCACCUCUCUAGCAAGAUUAGGGAAUUUUUUCUGGAUUAUUCUCCCAAAUAUAUUUUCCACAUUGCUUAUUUUUUCUUAUUCUCUUUCAAUAAUGCCUGUAAGUCAUAGGUACAGUCACUUUACAUAAUCCCAUAUUUCUUGAAGUCUAUAUUCAUUUUUUAAAAUUCUUUUUUAUUUAUUUUGGUCUGACUGGCUUUAUUCAAAAGACUACUCUUCAAUCUCUAAAAUUCUUUCUUCUGCUUGGUCUAGUCUAUUGUUAAAGCUUCCGACUAUAUUUUGAAAUUCACUUAGUUAAUUUGUCAAUUCCAGAAGUUCUAUUAUUUUAAUAUAGCUAUUCCAGCUUUCAUAUCCUAAAUUGUUUUUCUGUUUUUGUAUGUGCUGGUUUUCAACUUUCUCUUUCAUCUCAUUGAGUUUCCUGGCAGUCCAUAUUUUGAUUUAUUUAUCUGUCAUUUCAGACUUUUUAUUUUGAUUAAGCACCUGCUCUCAUGUGGCCAGUGGCGGUGGGAGAUUGUGUUGGAGUGUGCUAAGGUAUUCUGGGAUGGACUUGGGGAGUGCAACACCUCCUCAUUGUGGGAAGACAAUAAUUCAAUCCACUUCCCUAUCACACCCCUGUCACAGGGCUCAGGACUUUCAGUUUAUACAGACUUUGUCCUGUGUGGCUGUGGACUACAAAUAUGCCCCUCUAGCAGCUUUCACCUAACUGGGCUCAGGGCAGAGCCUUUUCUCAUAGUCCAGAACUGACUACUCUGGCUUGUCUGCCUCUGUUGCUGGGAUGCUGUUACUCUGUGUAGGAAGCAGGAAUUGAGCACUACCCUUCAUGCAAGAAUUAGCUGCACAAACUCACUUUCAACUAGGAUAGAACUGCCACAGGAAGGGCUGGAAUGGCUUUCUCCAAGUGCAUACAUCCACCCCCAGUGAGAAGAGUCUCUGCUGUGUUUGCAACAGUGAACAAGGAAAGCAUGGAGAUGGCCCCAUCUCCUUGCCCUUGACAUUCCUACAUUGAUUGUCAAGGUGUUGAAAUAUCCACCAUGUAAUUUUUUCUCCACACUCACAGAGAGGCUCACGGUAAACCUCCUAAAGCAUCUUAUUAAAAGAGAAACGCUACAGCCGUAGUCACAGAUGAGCUCUGGUGACUAAAAUCCCACCUACCACUACUUGACUGUUGCGGUGCCUGAAGCCUACAAAAUCGCAGAAUGAUUGCUGGUUCUCAAACCUCUAGGUUACUUUAUGAUUGGGAAUUUUACAUAUAUCCAUUGCCUGAAAUGCCCUUAGCAUCUAUUACCCUUUGAGAUUUAGCUUCAAUAUCAAGUAAUGAAGCCUUUCUUAAGUACCUAGAGAAAAUCAGUUUUCUGGUCUUUAAUGCCACCUUUGUACACACAGCUUUCUGUUGUUACCUUUUCAAAUCAUUUCACCAUUAUUUCUCUAUGCAUUCAUUCAUUAUUUCAACAAAUAUUUAUCGGGUGUUUAAUAUGUUUAUAGCCAUGUGCUAAGCACUGAGGUUAUACAUUGUCGUGACUCCAUGGUUAAACUCCACAGGGACAAGAUCCACACAAACAUUCUGUGUGAAGGACACAUAAAUAGUUUGGGGGUACAUCAUGCCUAUGACUGAUAUGAAGAAGGUGUAAACAAAUGUAUAUUGAAUUAAAGAAUACCUUAAAUAUUUGUUUGUAAGAGAUAUAGUUUUAGGAUUUGUUACAAUAGUUAGAAAAGGGUUUCAUGAAUAUGGAAUGAGAGCUUAGACUGCAACUGUUUUACAAAGCGCUUUUAAAAGUAACUACUAAAAUAAUCUAGUAAUACUUUUAGAGUCAUUUAGAAAAGAAUAAAAUAAUCUUAGCCUAGCUAACAGGAUGUUCCAAUAAAACUGUUGUGAUGUGGUAGGACUCGAUUAUGGUGAGAAUGGGUCAGAAUGGAUGAAUCAACGCAUUUGUGUAAAGAAUAAUAUCUAGAAAUGAUGACAAUGUAUAUUUGAAAGAAAAGAGUAUUAAAAAUGUCUUUAAAUUUUCCAAUUUGUUGUACUCAUAGGAAAAUAGGAGGUGAAAAUGAAAUACUUAGAGAUGGUGUCUAAUUUAUUUCAAGAAUUUGAGGUAAAAAAGAACUGCUCUGCCCCGUUAAUAUGUGAGAUGAGCAAUUUAGGAGGGAGGUCAGGCUGGAAAAGUGAAUUUACUGAACACCAUGAUAGUCAUGUUGUUUAAUGACUUAAGAAUAGACAGUAAGAGAGGUUCUCCUAUCAUAGCCCUACAUCCUCUGGAAAUGCAUGCUACAUUAAAAUUUGUAUUUCUAUUUCCAUAUGCUUGGUAUGACUAAUGGCAGAAACUGUGAAGAAUCCUAGGAGAAAAAUGGUCUGCAUUUGCUUCAGACUUAUUGCAAAGCGUAUGUAUGAAGGAAAACAUUAUUACUUCUAAUUCUACCAGACCAUCACCUGCAUGAGUCCCUGUGAUGCUUCCCAAAUCCAUCCAAAUGCUUAACUGAAGCUUGAAUUUAUUAUUUUCAAGUUCGAUGUAAAAGUUCUUCUUUUUAAACUUGACACUGUAUACUGUGGCUUAAAUAUUUAAGCAAGGCUCUUUCGAAGAUUGAGGAAGAAACAUCAAAAGUAUCUAAUGUUUAAUUCAGUGAGGUAAGCUUUCUCAAACUCUGAAGCUUAUGUGAAGCUGUUUGGAAUUUUUUCAAGGGUCUUUUAUCUCUAAAUAAAAACAGAAUUUAAAAAAAAAAUUAUAAUAAUUCUUCAAAACAGAAAUAACUUCUGUCAGAGUUCUUUGGUUUCUACCUAAAAGAAACAGUUACAUGGCAAUUGUUUAUUUAUUUCUACAUGAACCCAACAUGUUCAAAUUCUAAGAUUUAGAAAAGCUUGCUUCAGUCAUACAUAAAGAUUUUGAAAACUUAUUAUUCAAGCCAACUAAGAUUCUUGCUAGAAAACUCAAACAAAGAACAAUAAUUGGUUUGAAAACUGCAGAAUAUACUUUGUAGAUUAUGACUCUUCAUUGAUGAACAGAUAAGUAAACACCCACAAAUCAAUAUGUAAACAAUAGAACUGGCUAUUAAGUUUUUGCUAAAAGAUCUUCCUUGACAGAGUUUAUAGAAUUUGCUAAUUUUUUCUUUUUUGUCUUAUUUAAUGUUAGUUAUCAAAGCCAAGUCUUCCCAGACCCUUACUAAUUAAUCUCAACAAUUUGUUUUUGAAAUUUUGAAAACAUAGAAAUAUUAGGAGAAUCUCCAUUGGAGUGAUUCAAGAGAGUUCUAAAACAUGGAGACUGACAAAAACAUUCAGAUAGAAAUCUGCAGUUAAUGGUAAUAAAAUGAUGGCAGUCACUGUGAUGAUAUGAUAAUUGUGAUGAUUAGGCUGCUGGUUUGGAAUCCUGGAUGAAUCUCUUAAACUAGCUUUAUGGCUUUUAGCAAGUUAUGUAACCUUUGAAAUAUUCACCUGGUUUUUAAAACCACAUUCUGUGGAUGUAAGGUAACCACAGAUGUAUGUUAUUUAUAAGAUAACCCAUAUAAAUAAUGUAGUAUGUCUCGCACAUACUAAGCGCAUGCUAAGACUUUCCCCAUGCUUUCUUUUUUUUGGCUUCUUUUAUUAUUAUUAUUAUUAUACUUUAAAUUCUAGGGUACACUUGCACAACGUCCAUGUUUUAAGUCUCCACCCCCUUGUCCUUGAAAAUUCUAAUCUCUUUUGUUUACCAAGGCCAGUGAUAAUGAAGUCUUAUGACAAAACCUGUUCCUAUAACAUUCUUUCUAGUCAUUACAUAUUUUAAUCUCUCGUUUAUUAAGUUAGGUGCCUGUAAUAAUAACAUUUUCUAGAAUAUUUUUUACUGCUUUUAGCAUGGCUAACUUUUUUCACCUUUCCUUCAAUAAAUGCUGCCUCAUUUUAAGGUUUAUUCUGAACACC